rnacentral:lncRNA from 10 species
AACCUCACUUGCAUGCAGUAAUCAUUAACUCUCAGGUAGGUCUCCUGUGUAGACAUUUUCAUUGAUAUUUGUCUGUGUCUUUUCCCCCUUGGCUCUGUAAUUCUUACUCAUUACAGAGUACCUCUCACUACCUCUUCUGGGCCUUUUUUUUUUUUUUUUUUUGCGUCUACUUUCAAUUUUUGUGUUUUCAGAUAUUCUAAAACACAUUAAAAAAUAACCAGUUUUCUUGUGUUCUUCUGAUGUGUUCUUCUGAUUAUUGUUGCCCUACUUUUCCUUUUGUAGAUGGACAAGGCGUGAACAAACUGAUUUUUAUCGAGUGGUGUCUACGUUUGGUGUGGAAUAUGACCCUGACACCAUGCAGUUCCAUUGGGAUCGCUUCCGCACUUUUGCUCGACUAGACAAAAAGACAGAUGAAAGCCUUACCAAGUACUUCCAUGGCUUUGUGGCCAUGUGCCGCCAAGUAUGCCGCCUUCCCCCAGCAGCUGGAGAUGAACCCCCCGACCCUAACCUGUUCAUUGAGCCCAUCACUGAGGAGAGAGCCUCACGGACUCUCUACCGUAUAGAAUUGCUUCGGCGCU